rnacentral:siRNA from 1 species
UGAACAAGUGCAAUGACCAAUC